GACGAACGCUGGCGGCGUGCCUAAUACAUGCAAGUUGAGCGCUGAAGGUUGGUACUUGUACCGACUGGAUGAGCAGCGAACGGGUGAGUAACGCGUGGGGAAUCUGCCUUUGAGCGGGGGACAACAUUUGGAAACGAAUGCUAAUACCGCAUAAAAACUUUAAACACAAGUUUUAAGUUUGAAAGAUGCAAUUGCAUCACUCAAAGAUGAUCCCGCGUUGUAUUAGCUAGUUGGUGAGGUGAAGGCUCACCAAGGCGAUGAUACAUAGCCGACCUGAGAGGGUGAUCGGCCACAUUGGGACUGAGACACGGCCCAAACUCCUACGGGAGGCAGCAGUAGGGAAUCUUCGGCAAUGGACGAAAGUCUGACCGAGCAACGCCGCGUGAGUGAAGAAGGUUUUCGGAUCGUAAAACUCUGUUGGUAGAGAAGAACGUUGGUGAGAGUGGAAAGCUCAUCAAGUGACGGUAACUACCCAGAAAGGGACGGCUAACUACGUG
rnacentral:rRNA from 1 species